CCUACGGGAGGCAGCAGUAAGGAAUAUUGGACAAUGCUCGCAAGAGUGAUCCAGCCAUGCCGCGUGCAGGAAGAAUGCCCUAUGGGUAGUAAACUGCUUUUGAACUAGAGAAAAUCCCAGUACGUGUACUGGGCUGAUAGUAUAGUUAGAAUAAGCAUCGGCUAACUUCGUGCCAGCAGCCGCGGUAAGACGAAGGAUGCAAGCGUUAUCCGGAUUCAUUGGGUUUAAAGGGAGCGUAGGUGGACUGAUAAGUCAGUGGUGAAAUCUCCGAGCUUAACUCGGAAAUUGCCAUUGAUACUGUUGGUCUUGAGUACAGUUGCUGUGGGCGGAAUAUGACAUGUAGUGGUGAAAUACAUAGAGAUGUCAUAGAACACCGAUUGCGAAGGCAGCUCACAAAGCUGUAACUGACACUGAGGCUCGAAAGUGCGGGGAUCAAACAGGAUUAGAUACCCUGGUAGUCCGCACCGUAAACGAUGAUUACUCGCUGCUAGGGGGCAACCUUUAGUGGCUUAGCGAAAGCGANAAGUAAUCCACCUGGGGAGUACGCCGGCAACGGUGAAACUCAAAGGAAUUGACGGCUUGGAGGACGNGCGACGGACGACACGAGGGGAGGAGG
rnacentral:rRNA from 1 species